CAGCAGACACAUUCCAGCCAAUCAGCAGCAGACCCUCCCUCCCAGACCCUGCCACCUCCUGGACAGCAUUCAUUUUGAAGCUGCAUUCUUAGUGAGCUGUCCAGGAGGUGGGAGGGUCUGGGAGGGAGGGUCUUCUGCUGAUUGGCUGGAAUGUGUCUGCUG
rnacentral:miRNA from 1 species